CACGUAGGGGGCGAGCGUUGUCCGGAUUUAUUGGGCGUAAAGAGCUCGUAGGCGGUUUCGUAAGUCGGAUGUGAAAACUCCAGGCUCAACUUGGAGACGCCAUUCGAUACUGCGAUGACUUGAGUCCGGUAGGGGAGUGUGGAAUUCCUGGUGUAGCGGUGAGAUGCGCAGAUAUCAGGAGGAACACCGGCGGCGAAGGCGGCACUCUGGGCCGGUACUGACGCUGAGGAGCGAAAGCGUGGGUAGCAAACAGG
rnacentral:rRNA from 1 species